rnacentral:rRNA from 1 species
GACGAACGCUGGCGGCGUGCCUAAUACAUGCAAGUUGAGCGAUGAAGAUUGGUGCUUGCACCAAUUUGAAGAGCAGCGAACGGGUGAGUAACGCGUGGGGAAUCUGCCUUUGAGCGGGGGACAACAUUUGGAAACGAAUGCUAAUACCGCAUAACAACUUUAAACAUAAGUUUUAAGUUUGAAAGAUGCAAUUGCAUCACUCAAAGAUGAUCCCGCGUUGUAUUAGCUAGUUGGUGAGGUAAAGUCUCACCAAGGCGAUGAUACAUAGCCGACCUGAGAGGGUGAUCGGCCACAUUGGGACUGAGACACGGCCCAAACUCCUACGGGAGGCAGCAGUAGGGAAUCUUCGGCAAUGGACGAAAGUCUGACCGAGCAACGCCGCGUGAGUGAAGAAGGUUUUCGGAUCGUAAAACUCUGUUGGUAGAGAAGAACGUUGGUGAGAGUGGAAAGCUCAUCAAGUGACGGUAACUACCCAGAAAGGGACGGCUAACUACGUG